CCGGACCCGAAUGCUAUUUGGGUGAGGAUAAGCCAUGCGAGUUGAAUGGGAUACCUAAAGUUCCCAUGGCAAACUGCUCAGUAACACAUGAUCAACUACCCUAUAGAGAAAAAUAACCUCGGGAAACUGAGGAUAAUGUCAUAUGAAUUCUUGGGACGAAAGGGGUAAUUCUGCUAUAGGAUAGGAUCGUGUUCGAUUAGGUUGUUGGUGAGGUAAUGGCUCACCAAGCCGAUAAUCGAUAGGGGCCGUGAGAGCGGGGCCCCGAGAUGGGUACUGAGACAACGCCCAGGCCUUACGAGGCGCAGCAGGCGAGAAACCUCCGCAAUACACGAAAGUGUGACGGGGUUACCCAAAGUGUUCAAUUUUGAACCGUGGUAGGUGAGUAAUGUUCCCUACUAGAAAGGACAGGGCAAGGCUGGUGCCAGCAGCCGCGGUAAAACCAGCUCUUCAAGUGGUCGGGAUAAUUAUUGGGCUUAAAGUGUCCGUAGCCGGUUUAGUAAGUUCCUGGUAAAAUCGGGUAGCUUAACUAUCUAUAUGCUAGGAAAACUACUAUACUAGAGGGCGGGAGAGGUCUGAGGAACUGCAGGGGUAGCGGUGAAAUCUUAUAAUCCUUGGGAACACCUGUGGCGAAAGCGUCAGACUGGAACGCGCCUGACGGUGAGGGACGAAAGCUAGGGGAGCGAACCGGAUUAAAUACCCGGGUAGUCCUAGCCGUAAACGAUGCAUACUAGGUGAUGGCACGGCCACAGCCUCUCAGCCGUAGGGAAACCGUUAAGUGUGCCGCCUGGGAAGUACGGUCGCAAGGCUAAAACUUAAAGGAAUUGGCGGGGGGCACCACAAGCGGUGAAGCCUGCGGUUCAAUUUGACUCAACGCCGGAAA
rnacentral:rRNA from 1 species